UACGGAGGAUUCAAGCGUUAUCCGGAUUUAUUGGGUUUAAAGGGAGCGUAGGCGGGUUGUUAAGUCAGUUGUGAAAGUUUGCGGCUCAACCGUAAAAUUGCAGUUGAUACUGGCAGUCUUGAGUACAGUAGAGGUGGGCGGAAUUCGUGGUGUAGCGGUGAAAUGCUUAGAUAUCGCGCAGAACCCCGAUUGCGAAGGCAGCGUACCGGCUCCACACUGACGCUGAGGCACGAAAGCGUGGGUAUCGAACAGG
rnacentral:rRNA from 1 species